UGGUGCCAGCAGCCGCGGUAAUUCCAGCUCCAAUAGCGUAUAUUAAAGUUGUUGCAGUUAAAAAGCUCGUAGUUGGAUUUCUGUUAAUACUUUAUAUAUAAUAUCUUGUUAUAUUUAUAUAAUAUUAACAUCAUUCAUAUUACUAUUUUUUUUAGUAUAUGAGAUUUUACUUUGAGAAAAUUAGAGUGCUUAAAGCAGGCUUUUGCCUUGAAUACUCCAGCAUGGAAUAAUAUUAAAGAUUUUUAUCUUUCUUAUUGGUUCUAAGAUAAGAAUAAUGAUUAAUAGGGACAGUUGGGGGCAUUUGUAUUUAACAGUCAGAGGUGAAAUUCUUAGAUUUGUUAAAGACAAACUAGUGCGAAAGCAUUUGCCAAGGAUGUUUUCAUUAAUCAAGAACGAAAGUUAGGGGAUCGAAGACGAUCAGAUACCGUCGUAGUC
rnacentral:rRNA from 1 species